rnacentral:piRNA from 1 species
UCAAUGAUAGUUACAAUUAAA